rnacentral:lncRNA from 1 species
CUGACUGCAAUAACCAACCAAGAUUCCAGAGGAUAGAUGAUGAUGCAGCAUACUAACCACAAUCCUGACAAGGAGGUGAUGGACUCAAGGUACUAUGCAUAUAAUCCUGUUAAACUCACAUGACGUAGUGGAGCUGACUAGGAUCAUGAGGUGAUUUCCUCUCUAACCAAAGAUGAUGAAGAUGAGUUAAAAUAAAUUUCUACAUUUGAAUAUCCA